GGGAAUUUUUCGCAAUGGGCGAAAGCCUGACGAAGCAACGCCGCGUGGAGGAUGAAGGCCCUAGCGGGCGUAAACUCAUGUCUAGCGGGACGAAACCUUGCAGGGUAAAUAAUCGUGCGAAUUGACUGUACCGCAGGAGGAAGCUCCGGCCCACUCCGUGCCCGCAGCCGCGGUAAUACGUAGGGACCAAGCGUUGUUCGGAUUUACUGGGCGUAAAGGGCGCGUAGGCGGCGUGGUAAGUCACUUGUGAAAUCUCUGAGCUUAACUCAGAACGGCCAAGUGAUACUGCUGUGCUAGAGUGCAGAAGGGGCAAUCGGAAUUCUUGGUGUAGCGGUGAAAUGCGUAGAUAUCAAGAGGAACACCUGAGGUGAAGACGGGUUGCUGGGCUGACACUGACGCUGAGGCGCGAAAGCCAGGGGAGCAA
rnacentral:rRNA from 1 species